GAAGACCACAGUUUCCUGUCGCGUGGAUGUGUUUCCUCUCUGGCCAUUGCCAUCCGCCCAAAUCUACAGACAUCCCGCAUGUUCCCGGGCUCGUCUCCCCAAUACAGGGCACCAAGGACCCCGGGUGCAGCAUCUGGGUCCCCCUGCCCCGCCCUGCCUUGCGCCGCAGCCGCUUCCGUUGUCCUGCCAGGCUGUAGACUGCGCAGCCCUCCUGGAGACAGAUGGAAGCUCCUUGGGUCGACAGAUUACAGCUUCUGGAACCCCCUACUCCCUUCAACUCCGAGAUGGACACCCACUGUCCAGGGAGAGGAUGCCUGGAAAUAACAGCUGGGAUCUACAGUGGCCAAAGAGUUGUCUCCGUCUUGCUACAUCGACAAACUGGUGCUCCUGAGUGAGGAUUGUGCCCUGGGAUGGGGGAUUCAGUUUCUUCAUUUAUAGUUGGAAGUGGGUGAAGCCACUUCGGAAGCGUUUUCCUCUCCACUCUGACAACAGGCAAGAGUGAGGGUCCAACAAUACAGAGGAAGUAACGUGUCGCUGCUACUCUUCCAUGCCCAGUGCCAGGAGCGACGGUACACUCCAGAGUGCUGUGCCCUGAUGGGCCUUUGAGUGGCCAGUGCAGUGGAUCAUCAGCCCUGUCUCCCAAGAGCUCCAGUCCCUUCUCCGGAGAGGAAGUGGGUCCACUGGCAGCUCAGGAGGCCAUAGCAGGAUUGUCACGUGUGCUCAACAGUCCUCCUCGGCUUUCCAGAAGAGGCUGGAACAGGGCCCUUGAAGAUGUUUGUGGACAUCAGAGGGCCAAAGACGACACAAAGUGAAACUGGAGACACCGCCCCCCCUUGGCAUCAUGAAACUGCCGAUGUUACUGGCUCAUGCAUGGGAGACACCAGCAUACAAAGUCUUGACACCAACACCUCAGAGGGCUGUGUUCUGUCCCCGUGACCAUCAUCUAGUGCCUGGAAAGACUAGUGACAAGAACUUGUUGCCAACUUCCUAUUACCUCCCUAACAGUUGUGCAAUAAACCCCAUAGGUUAAUUCA
rnacentral:lncRNA from 1 species